GCAUAUCACAUUGAAACACCGGUUCUCGUACGAUUACCGAAGUUAAGCAACGACGAGCCUGAUCAGUUCCUAGAUGGGUAACCAUUUGAAAAUACGAGUUGCUGUAAU